rnacentral:lncRNA from 1 species
UCUCGCACUCAACCCCUUUCUCUCUCUUACCCAUUCCUAUGUUCUCCUUCUCUCACACCUCUUAUUCGUAUUAUGUCCAAAUCUUCCCUCUUCUCCCAUGAGUGUUCCAGGCCAUUGUGCUCUGCUUCCUUCUUCCCCUUAAGCCUUUGGUAAGUUUCCUUUCCUCUUCUUAUGUUGGUUUCUUUUAAUAUGUAGAAGAGAGAGAUUAAGGUCGUUUUAUAUUUUGGGAGCCUUAUCAUGCUCUUCUUUCUUUAUCCCGAGCAUCAGUAUUUUCCUAGGGUUCAUAUUUCUUUCUAUGUUGUGUCAAUUAUUUUAUCCCAAUUGCUGUCAAGAUCUUCUUUUCUAUUUCUUAAACAACAAUCUAGAAUUUAUAGAAAUUUAAUCAAAUAUUGCUACUUAUGAACAUAUAUCAAUCCUUUAAACUAUUUAGCAUUUUAGUGUUCUACUUGGUUACUAUGUUCAUUACAUCUAGCUUUCAAAUUUGUGAUAAAUCAAUUACUAAGCAUGCAGCAAACUUGAGACUAGAAAAUAGGAACAAAAAAUCAUGUCCCUUUGUUUUACACAAGUAAUUCAACAAUCAAAAGCAGAAGAGCAACCGAAAAUAGUAGAAUGAAUACCUGUUAUGCUUAAAUGAGAAAAAAAUAAGUUACUUAAGGUUAAUAUAAGGCAAAUAGUCACUUCCUUGGUUUGAUUCAGGAUUAUUAGUUAUGGCAAAUAAAUCGCAAAAUGGAACUAAUGCACAGAAAAGGAUAAUUAGCUAGAAAUUCAAAUUAUAGAGUUUUAAGAAAAUUUUAUAUGUUAUUAUUAAGCUAUAGUGAUAUGUCUUAAAAGUGUAACCACAAGCGUACGGUGUCCAAGAUAGCACAUUUGGUGACUACGGAU